UGUAUAUGUGUGUAUCCUCGUAUGUGGAUACACACACAUACACAUACACACGCAUGUAUCUCA
rnacentral:miRNA from 1 species